AGCCAAGAGAAUGAUGCAUUGUAUCCAAUUUCUAGAGAAGCAACUUCUCAACAAUGCAGCUUUUAAUCUACAUGAAUGUUCUAUCCAACCACCCCAAGCAGAAACAUGAAAGAGACAUCAACUCCUCAGUCUCCAGCUCUGUGAGGUUAAACCUCAGCACAGCUUUAAGAUCACGCUUGGCAAAGAUCAGAAACCAGCCUAAGAAUGAG
rnacentral:lncRNA from 1 species